rnacentral:rRNA from 1 species
UGGGGAAUUUUGGACAAUGGGGGAAACCCUGAUCCAGCCAUCCCGCGUGUGCGAUGAAGGCCUUCGGGUUGUAAAGCACUUUUGGCAGGAAAGAAACGUCAUGGGUUAAUACCCCGUGAAACUGACGGUACCUGCAGAAUAAGCACCGGCUAACUACGUGCCAGCAGCCGCGGUAAUACGUAGGGUGCAAGCGUUAAUCGGAAUUACUGGGCGUAAAGCGUGCGCAGGCGGUUCGGAAAGAAAGAUGUGAAAUCCCAGAGCUCAACUUUGGAACUGCAUUUUUAACUACCGGGCUAGAGUGUGUCAGAGGGAGGUGGAAUUCCGCGUGUAGCAGUGAAAUGCGUAGAUAUGCGGAGGAACACCGAUGGCGAAGGCAGCCUCCUGGGAUAACACUGACGCUCAUGCACGAAAGCGUGGGGGCAAACAGG